CUUGCCUGAGAUCUUUCCUAGUAGCCAAGGGUUUGCAUUUUUUAAAGCCAGCGGCAAAGAAUAACAAAAGUGGAAAGACCUCCACGACACUGUCCUAACACAUCCUGUGUUCCAGCCUUAAACAUGACUGUUGUGGGAUAAUCUUUUUGUUCACUGUGAAGAUGUGUCUUUGCCAAGGUACCUUCUGAUUGGUUUAAUAAAAAGCUGAAUGGCCAAUAGCUAGGCAGGAAGAGGUUAGGCGGGACUUCCAGGAGAGGGAGGAACUCAGGGGGAUGAAUCUCGGCACACAAGAGACUCCAGCAAGACUUGGCACAAGUUGGACAUACAGAACAGGAGAAAGCAACCGGAUCAAAACUGCUUGGAACCAGGUCUGCUCAGCCCUGAUGUCGAAGGACAGAGUAGAAACACAACCAUGACUGCAUGACAGGCCUAACUAGGGUUAGCACUCUCACCAUUUUCCAAACACACAUCCCCUCAGAAUGAAGGAAAGAAGAGUUCAGACAUCUGUCCACCCAGAACUGCCUCCUAUCUUCAUUCCUUCUGGCAGCUUCUUCCAUUGUUUUACCUUUUCUCUGUGGAAUCAUCUUUAGAACACACUAGUGUCAGACCGGAACUCCCUACUUGAAAGUGUUUGGAUGAAAAAACUGGUCAGAACAUGUUUGAGUCCCAAGAAGCAGAAAGCUCGGAUAGUUGGCCCCACCAUGAAGACACUUAUUGUACUUGAGAAGUCGCCUGGAGAAAAUGACUGCCAAUGAUUCCAUAGCCAGACUCCAAGUCCUUCCGGCUUCUGGGUCUGGCAUUCCUAGGCUGGACUCUGCCACUUACCAAGGUAGCUGGUCUCCGGAUGUCACAGGGCCUGUCAGGAGGUGGGGUACUUUGUCCCCAUGUAUCAGCCUAAGCCAAACUGCCACCAUCUUUGGGAGACCUGUCAGUCCUGCUCCCAACUUCUCUCAUAGAAGAAAGAAGUGUGGAGGACCAUGGGACCCUCACCUGAAUAUCCAGCCACAUCUCCCAAACAGUUGUACGUAGUUGUGCUCUGAUUGCAUGUGGCUGUGGGAGGGGCUAGAGGAUAUAGUUGGGGAAGGGGGAAGGAAGUGGAUUUAGUCUGCAGCCACCGGGAAGCCAUGUCCAUCAGGAAGCCAUCAUCCCUGUGGGUGCAGACCUUCCAGGCGGCGACUUUGAGGUUACCCACACUCCUGCCUGUAUCCUGUCUCCCAUUGCUCUAACCCUGCAACACAGCUACAGUUCUUUCUACAUAUCCAGAGGUGGUUCAUAUACAUGCUUGCAUUAGCUGAUGCAUUAUUUAAAGAGUGGAUUUGGAACUUCUCCCUACAGCCAGAAGACUGAUACACUGCAAGAGGCUUUCCCCAUUCAGCUGUAGACUGGAGAUGAGUUGUGGGGUGGUGGUCCCCUCACAAAUGUUUCUCUAUUUGCCAUAGCUCCCACCAAUGUCUUUUACCACCUCCUUCACUGUGUUUUACAGCUCACAAGAAUUUGACCUUGAGGCUUUCUGAUUUACCAUGGAAAAGAACAACAGUGAUGCUUUGCAUGUUUUCUUGAUCCCUUCCUUCCUUCCUUUGCUUCUUUUUUCUUUCUUCCCAUC
rnacentral:lncRNA from 1 species